GAUGAACGCUGGCGGCGUGCCUAAUACAUGCAAGUCGAGCGAACAGACGAGGAGCUUGCUCCUCUGACGUUAGCGGCGGACGGGUGAGUAACACGUGGAUAACCUACCUAUAAGACUGGGAUAACUUCGGGAAACCGGAGCUAAUACCGGAUAAUAUAUUGAACCGCAUGGUUCAAUAGUGAAAGACGGUUUUGCUGUCACUUAUAGAUGGAUCCGCGCCGCAUUAGCUAGUUGGUAAGGUAACGGCUUACCAAGGCAACGAUGCGUAGCCGACCUGAGAGGGUGAUCGGCCACACUGGAACUGAGACACGGUCCAGACUCCUACGGGAGGCAGCAGUAGGGAAUCUUCCGCAAAGGGCGAAAGCCUGACGGAGCAACGCCGCGUGAGUGAUGAAGGUCUUCGGAUCGUAAAACUCUGUUAUUAGGGAAGAACAAAUGUGUAAGUAACUAUGCACGUCUUGACGGUACCUAAUCACAAAGCCACGGCUAACUACGUG
rnacentral:rRNA from 1 species